rnacentral:rRNA from 1 species
AUACGUAGGUGGCAAGCGUUGUCCGGAUUUACUGGGCGUAAAGGGAGCGUAGGUGGAUAUUUAAGUGGGAUGUGAAAUACCUGAGCUUAACUUGGGUGCUGCAUUCCAAACUGGAUAUCUAGAGUGCAGGAGAGGAAAGUGGAAUUCCUAGUGUAGCGGUGAAAUGCGUAGAGAUUAGGAAGAACACCAGUGGCGAAGGCGACUUUCUGGACUGUAACUGACACUGAGGCUCGAAAGCGUGGGGAGCAAACAGGAUUAGAUCCCCUGGUAGUCCACGCCGUAAACGAUGGAUACUAGGUGUGGGGGUUUCAACACCUCCGUGCCGCCGUUAACACAAUAAGUAUCCCGCCUGGGGAGUACGGUCGCAAGAUUAA